rnacentral:rRNA from 1 species
GCUCAAUGAUUUUUUAAAUUGCUGUAGUAUUUUGACUAUACAAAGGUAUUGAAAUAAGGUUUUAAUUGAAUGCUAAGGGAAUGGAAUAUCAAAAAAUAACUUUCUUAAAAUUAAAAAUUGAAAUUUUUUUAAUUUGUGCAAAAACAAUUAUGAAAAUUAAAGACAAGAAGACCCUAAGAAUUUUUAAAAUUUAAAUAAUACAUUUUUUGUUUUAAUUAAAUUUUAACUGGGGCGGUUAAAAAAUAUUAAAAACUUUUUAAUUUUAAAAUGACCCAUUAUUAAUGAAAAUAUGAUUAAAUACUCUAGGGAUAACAGCGUUAUAUUUUUUGAUAGAUCAUAUUGACAAAAAAGUUUGCGACCUCGAUGUUGGAUUAGGAUACUUUUUUAAUGAAGAUAUUAAAAUAAGAAGUUUGUUCAACUUUUAAAUUCCUACUUGAUCUGAGUUCAGACCGG